ensembl:lncRNA
GGAAGAAGGCGUCAGUCAGUGACUGGAGGUCCCCUCAGCAAGGUCUGUGUUUAGCUCCAAGCAGAGUGUGAGACUCAUGAAGGCAGGAACCACAUCUCUACUGUUGAUAUGUGCAUCCACAGCAUCUCACCCUGGACACCCGAAUGAAUAAAUGAGACGUGGCUCCCUGCGCCUGUUGAUUCACUUGUUCAGUUUUUCAAUGCAGUGUGACGAAUGCCCACUAUGCUUUGUGAUGAACGGGACGCUCAUAUUUGCUGUGUGGGAAUCUGCUGUCCUGUGCCCCAUGCCAUGGAGCUCAAGGACAUUUGGGCAGGUGCUGGGAGGUGCAGUGUUAAUCCUGCGGGGAACCGUGUGAGGUGGCCAGACAUCUAAGAAGAGCGUCUUCCCCUGGAGGACCCUUUCCUUCUGCAGGCAACCAAGGGAAGCUCUGCUUCCCAAGAUGGCUCAUGAGCAGGGAGGGGCCGCUGGAGCCUAACGCCUGGCACACCUCGGGGCACGCUCUGCUGAUUAAGUUCUCACAUGCUUGUCACCAGGUUCCAGGAGAGUGGCUCUGCGACAGAUGGCUCAGAGAAUCUCAAGCCAGCUGACCCCUGUUGGUUCACAAGGAAAGAGUUUGCGCACAGAACUAUCUGAGGGAAGAGAACAGGCGGUUAUUAACUCAAAGGAGAGAGUGAAAAGUUUGGGCUGCAGGAAGCAAAAUGAGAAGUCAUUGCUUGGGCGAUCUUGGCUCCCUUAAAUAUGGCAUCAAUCAUCACUAAUGAGAAAGCCGCCAGUUUGAAAAUCUCGCUCACUUAAUUAUAUCAACACAGUCAACACCUUGUGGGCUGUCUUCCCAGGUUGAGAUAAUUAUCUUUUUCCCUUUCUUUCUGAUAAUUGCUUCCUUCACUUCUGAGUGGGCCGCGGCAGCCACGAGUAUCCUGUGUGGCUCACCCUGAGGAAGCUGCUGGGCUGGACCACUCAGACUCCCCGGGGACUUGGAACAAUGACUUGUUUGCACCCAUGGGAGGUCUGGCGUCCAGGCUGUGUCUGCCAGUGCAUGGAAGGGCACAGCUCAUUUUUCCACAAAGUGAGAGGAAGGGAACAGAGAGGAGUGAGCUAAGAGGCAGAGAUAUGGGCCGGGGACCUGUUUCCCAGUUCCACUUGGUGCUGAUGCGCUACCACUUGUUGCCUGUGGACUGAACAGGAUUCUCCACAUCAGUACCAAAAAACUCUCCAUUCUUUUAAAUUCUCAUCAGAGUUUGUUCUUUGUAACUAGGAAGUCCCAGUAUGGUCAGAAUAUUAGUAAUGGUUACUGAACCUAAUGCUCGCCUAAGUACUUUCCAGCCAAGAUGAGCCAGUGAGUUAGGGGCUGAGAUUCCCACUUGACAGACGCACAGACUGAGGCAGAGGCAAAAGACUUCAUCAGAUCUGCAUCCCCCUUCUUCUCCCCACAAGUGCAGUUCUCUGCCUCCCCCUCAGGCGGUGUCCUUCAAGUUGGCACCAGGAAGCAGCAGCCCCACCCAGAGUCCUUGGACCACGGAAGCUCUGGGGGCAGAUGGAAGGGCUUCUUUCCCAGAAGCCCUCCGCAGUCUUCACACUUCCUUGGCUAGAACUGGAUCAUCUGGUCACAGUGGGCAGGUGGAUGGGUGUGCUGAGGAAGACACCUUAAUUUAUUGCUAAUCUUACAACAGUGGUGAGAUGGCCAAUCCACCAUUAGGUUUCGUAUUCCUGUGGAGGAUGAUAUAGUUGAAUUUAUCUUUUCCAUUCACUUUUUGUUUCCUGUGUCUCAUAUCAUUUUUGUUCCUCUAUUACUCUUUUACUAAUUUCUUUUGCAUUACUUGAAUAUUUUCUAAUGUAGUAUUUUAAUUUCUUUAAUGAUAUUUUCACUAUUUUGAGUUAUUUCUUAAUAGUUUCCAUAGGGUUAACCAC